ensembl:lncRNA
UUUCCUUUCUUUAUUCCAAACAACCCCAAAUGCUAAUGCAAACCAACUUGCAGUAUGUGCACACUUCUAACCAACUCUCUCCACAGCCGUACAGCCGUGUGAAUUGUUAAAGAGUAACAAAGCUGUUUUGUGGCCGGCAGAUAAAAGACCUGUGUACCAGCGAGGUCGGCCACUCCAUAAAUAUGUUGGCUCUUCUUAUUACAAGCUGUGUCCAUGACAAAGGACAAACAGCUGGGGAAAGAAAUGCUACAUGGCAGGAAUGGACAAGGGCCAUUUUCAGCCUGGCUGGUCAGACACCAACCCCUGAGCUGUCCCCGCAAAGGCUGUUUACUUGACCCACAGGAGAGAGAGAAAGAGAGAGGGAGAGCGAGAGAAAGUUGACACGGAAAGAAACAGCUGCUGCUCUGCUGUGGAAAUAACAUCAGGGAAAUGAUCUGGGAGAAAAUCAGCUUGACCAACAGCUGUGUACUCUAUAGUGCUCUCUCUCAGCUGAGAUGUGAGGCAGAUAGACGGAAUGCAGGCCUGAAUGAGUUCCCUGUUUCUGCUUUACUCACACUAAGCCUUUAGAGGAUCACAGGCAGCAGCAGUGUGUAUUUUAAUAUGCAGCUGAACUACAUCAACAAUUCCACAUGAAUUUGCAUUUUGGCCAUUUCAUUCUCAAACUAUUUGCAUUUCAAGCAAAAUAAGCUGAUCGGAUAGCUGGAUAUCAAAGCAAUGACUGUAGUAAACAUAGUGCCAGUGUUUGCUUACCAAUUACAUUCUGUACAACUUACUGCUCUAUCGUUCUGUGAAGUCAAGUCUUGUUAAGUUUUCCCACUGUUCGGUUAAUUCAUUAAAAUGUAUCUAAAUACAAAGCAGAAGUUAUUUUUACUUUGUUACAUUGCUGAUAACCAGAGGUGUGCUUUGUGCUUAAGUCAGAUGUAAUUUACAAAAAUGCCAACUUAAUACCUGAUUCCCCUGAGCACCAAAUCAUUUCUUGAAAUUCAAAUAUUACUAUGCCUGCUUAAAUUAGCACUUCAAUGGCAGACUGUGCAUUUGAAAGAACUACAUCUGAGCUGUAAAAAAGACAAAUUUUAGUCAGUAUUCAAAGAACUAAAAUGUGCAACUAAUUAAAUUAGCCAAAGUAAGACUUAAGAACAGAUUUCCUUUGGUGAAUUGACUCAAACUUUUUCUGAUUUUCUUUGUUUUUUUGCCACAAUAAAAACUUUGAAGUUAUGUUGGCAAUAGCCUCUGUUCUUUAUGACAACACUAACCUUUUUGCAAUCAUCCAUAAACAGGGAUAAACUGCACAUCUGUAUUCCUCCUCACCAAAAAAAGGAGCUGCAUGUAUUCCCACUCUGCAUUAGUUAAAUGCAUACUAUGUUGCACUGUGACUACACCCACUGUUUGA